AACGAACGCUGGCGGCGUGCCUCAUACAUGCAAGUCGUGCGAGAAAGUCCUUCGGGACGAGUAAAGCGGCGCACGGGUGAGUAACACGUGGGCAACCUGCCCUUGAGUCUGGGAUAACCCGGGGAAACUCGAGCUAAUACCAGAUACGGCCGUGAGACCUUCGGAUCUUGCGGAGAAAGAUGGCCUCUGCUUGCAAGCUAUCACUCAUGGAUGGGCCCGCGUCCUAUCAGCUAGUUGGUGAGGUAAUGGCUCACCAAGGCUAAGACGGGUAGCUGGUCUGAGAGGAUGACCAGCCACACUGGAACUGAGAUACGGUCCAGACUCCUACGGGAGCAGCAGUAGGGAAUUUUGGGCAAUGGGCGAAAGCCUGACCCCAGCAACGCCGCGUGUGGGAUGAAGGCCCUCGGGUCGUAAACCACUGUCAGGAGGAAAGAAAAGCCGGACGGAUAAUACCCGGACGGCCUGACGGUACCUCCAAAGGAAGCACCGGCUAACUCCGUGCCAGCAGCCGCGGUAA
rnacentral:rRNA from 1 species